GACAGAGGUGCCAAGCGUUAGGCGGAAUCACUGGGCUUAAAGCGUGUGUAGGCGGAAUGGUAAGUACCUUGUGAAAUCCCACGGCUCAACCGUGGAACUGCUCGGUAUACUGCUUUUCUUGAGCCACUUAGGGGCUGUCGGAACAAACGGUGUAGCGGUGAAAUGCGCAGAUAUCGGGAGGAACACCUAUGGCGAAGGCAGCUCGCUGGGACGUUACUGACGCUGAGGCGCGAAAGCGUGGGGAGCGAACAGG
rnacentral:rRNA from 1 species